rnacentral:rRNA from 1 species
UACGAACCGUGCGAACGUUGUUCGGAAUCACUGGGCUUAAAGGGCGCGUAGGCGGGCUAGCAAGUCAGGGGUGAAAUCCCACGGCUCAACCGUGGAAGUGCCUUUGAUACUGCGAGUCUUGAGGGAGGUAGGGGCGUGCGGAACUUCCGGUGGAGCGGUGAAAUGCGUAGAUAUCUGGAGGAACACCGGUGGCGAAGGCGGCAUUCUGGACCGAAACUGACGCUGAUGCGCGAAAGCCAGGGGAGCAAACGGG